UGGUCUUGGAUGUGUGCAUGCAGCUAGGCAUUUAGGUGAUGUGGGUCCAAACACUUUGCAGAAUGCAAGAGCGCUCUUGUCUGCAUCGUCCCCAUUCAUCCUGGUGAAGAUGUUUGGACUCUGCUCCCUUUGAAAGGCAGAUGUUUGGAUUCAGUCCCCUUUGAAAAACUGCUGGGCUAUUUCUUGAAGCGGAAUUUCCAGUUCUUUUAGGACUGAAAUGUGUUUAUACCAAUAUUAAUACUGUGACUUAAAAAUCAGAAGCACUGCUACACCUGCAGCAACAAAGCAGCUCAGAAACCCCUGCUCAGUUAGGAAGAAUGGAUUAUAUAUUUUCUCUCUGUCCAGCUUUUGCCUAUGAAGACUACUUAGUAUUAUUAUUAGUAGCUUUACCUCUAAAAAAUAUUUGUUGUUGAUAAUAGUCUGCAGUGCAGCCUACUUCAGAAGAAUGUCUCCAGUAAGAGAUGAGCAGACUGGAGGGUGGAUUUGCAGCAGAUCUGUAAUUUCUGUGGUGGCUGCCAGCCUACUGCCAGCAGGGAGCAAACUGUCCAUACCUUUUGGUUUAAAACAGCCAAUUUCAGGGGAUGUGCUGGCUGAGUUGCCUACGGCACUUGGGCGCAGGCUCAGUCAAAUCUGCACAGGCAAUGCAAAAGAUCCUCUGCUGAGACUCUUGAGCCCUCUCUCUCCUAAACUGAGACAUCUAAGUUACGUAGCAAGGGGAAGGGGUGAGUCCAUAUUAAGGCAUACCCUAAAUGUCUUUUGCAUGUCCUCAGGAGAGCACGACCAUAUUAAGCUGAUAGGUCAAGUAAAAUUAUUUAAUGUAUUUGAACAUAUCUUUUGCAGUAGUGCUUACUUUUAAGCCUGUUUUAGAGAUGGGCAAUACUGAGUAUGCAGAGAAGCAGCUAGAGUAAUAUAGUCCUUGUAGUUAUACUAAGAAAUUGAAUGAAGUAGACAAAUUUCCAGUUUAAAUCCCUAAGCUUGUUCUAUUGUCAUCUUUGUGAGAUCUUACUGAUUGUGUUCUAAGCAUAAAUCAAUUAUAUUACAUUAUAUUACAUCCUAAUACACUUAUGCGAUACUGAUUUUUACAGAUCCUUGCCCCAGACAAAUAUAUUUUAUAAUGAUUUUAAAAGAUAGCUUCCUCUACAUCUUAAUGAGUCAACCAUUAAAGUGAUUGAUUCAUUAAAUGUAAUACUUUGUAUUAGACACAUAAUGCAAUUAGAAAUCUAAUCUCUCUGUUAAAAUAUUGAACACAUUCAUUAAUACCUGCCAACAAAAUAAUUGUAAUUACAAGCGAACCCUUUCAAUAGUGUCUUCUUGAUUCCUGGCCAAAAUGACACGGCUGUUCUGCUGUUAAUUUCAAGCACUAUAGCAAUAUUUUAAAUCCUACCACUUAAUCUGAAAAUCACUGCUGAGGUAGAAU
ensembl:lncRNA